rnacentral:misc_RNA from 1 species
UCCGGUUUGACACCGGCAGUCUAGCUAGAGAAAUACAACUAUUCACAAGGGUUGCGCUCGUUGAUGGACUUAACCAAACAUCUCACGACACGAGCUGACGACGGCCAUGCAACACCUGUCACUUGGUUCCAAAAGGCACACUCUACUUUCGUAGUGCUUCCAAGGAUGUCAAGUCCUGGUAAGGUUCUUCGUUUAUCAUCGAAUUAAAGAACACGAUCCACCGCUUGUGCUGAUCCCCGUCAAUUCCUUUAUGUUUUAGUCUUGCGACCGUACUCCACAGGCGGGAUGCUUAACGCGUUAGCUUCGCUACUGAAGGGGUCGAUACCUCCAACAGCUAGCAUCCAUAGUUUACGGCGUGGACUAC